AACUGAAACAUCUAAGUACCCUGAGGAAAAGAAAUCAACCGAGAUUCCCUUAGUAGUGGCGAGCGAACGGGGACCAGCCCUUAAGUUGAUUUGAGAUUAGUGGAACGCUCUGGAAAGUGCGGCCAUAGUGGGUGAUAGCCCCGUACACGAAAAUCUCUUGUCAAUGAAAUCGAGUAGGACGGAGCACGAGAAACUUUGUCUGAAUAUGGGGGGACCAUCCUCCAAGGCUAAAUACUACUGACUGACCGAUAGUGAACCAGUACCGU
rnacentral:rRNA from 1 species